rnacentral:sRNA from 1 species
GUCUAGCCCAGAUAGUAAUGGAAAGCUUUGUGAAGGAAAAUUAUAUUUUUUCUUGUUGUAAAAAAGCGACCAAAGGAAGCUCUUUUUACAGCUUAGAAAAAAAUAAUUUUACAAACAAACUUGCAAUGGAUAGCUGGAAAUAGC